CCUACGGGGGGCUGCAGUAGGGAAUCUUCGGCAAUGGACGAAAGUCUGACCGAGCAACGCCGCGUGAGUGAAGAAGGUUUUCGGAUCGUAAAACUCUGCUGUUAGAGAAGAACAAGGAUGAGAGUAACUGUUCAUCCCUUGACGGUAUCUAACCAGAAAGCCACGGCUAACUACGUGCCAGCAGCCGCGGUAAUACGUAGGUGGCAAGCGUUGUCCGGAUUUAUUGGGCGUAAAGCGAGCGCAGGCGGUUUCUUAAGUCUGAUGUGAAAGCCCCCGGCUCAACCGGGGAGGGUCAUUGGAAACUGGGAGACUUGAGUGCAGAAGAGGAGAGUGGAAUUCCAUGUGUAGCGGUGAAAUGCGUAGAUAUAUGGAGGAACACCAGUGGCGAAGGCGGCUCUCUGGUCUGUAACUGACGCUGAGGCUCGAAAGCGUGGGGAGCAAACAGGAUUAGAUACCCCAGUAGUC
rnacentral:rRNA from 1 species